CGGCACUGUUUAUGUUUAUUGGGGAAAUAAAAGGCACCUUUAUCGUGCAAUUACUCAGGAAUCGUUUUUUUUUUUUCAAAACAGAGGUCAAAAUUACAAUACAGGCAUACAUCAAAUUAAUAACUUAAAAUAUGUAAUCUUAAAUGUAUCAAGGAAAGAAUUCAAUUCUAACAAAUUAUUUUAAACGCGUUAUGUUUAUUUGCCUCCUCUGUUUGCGCCAUACAUCUGUAAAACGAUGUAAAAACGAAAUAGUCCGAGGCUAAAGCAUCAAGAAGAACAGUCUAAAACAAAGUGAUACAUGGAUUCAAUGUUAGAUCACUGACAAAGGGUUUAGUUAAAGAGCGGUGUGUAUGAAACUGCCUUUGCUGCGGUUUUGCAUUAGCAGGCUGUGGACGACAGGCGCUGAAAUCGUGUUAAUAAGUGGAAGGGGUAGGUUACAGAACACUGCCGAUUCACGAUCACACAAAUACUCAAGGACAGGUCCCCUCGGCCCCGGGGCGCUUCCGGACCCUGCACAACAGCAGCAGGACGCAUCUUACCAGUGAAAACCAGAGACCAGUCUCAUUUAAGAGAUUAUACAUCUAAUACACGUUAGAAUCGUGACACAAACCUUCAACACAUAGAAGUGUGGCAGAGAUACUCGUGUUGGCAUGUACAGGUGCUAGGCCCUGUUUACUAACAACAAUAGCAACCACUGGAGCUUUUAUUUUUGACCAUCGAUACUGCAGUUAUUUUAAAUCCUUUAAUGGUUAUUAAAUGGUUUGCAAAAUGACAUUGCAUGUGAUAUAUGAAACGAAAGCAGUAAAAAACUGACCUGUCUGCAGUUCACAUAAGGUCUACGAAUAAACCAGAACCCAAAGUUUGUUCACGUCAAAGGUCGCAUUAUUUUUAAAAAGAAAUCAAACACUACACGUUUUCCUUCAGCAAAGAUUCUUCAUUUCUUUAAAACAGUUUGAAAAGAAAUCGAAUGAGUAAUGUGAGCACACUGUAUGUUUGGGAGAAUACAACAGAGAUGGUCGUAGAUAUAUGUUUUAAUUAUAAAGACAUAUAAACAAUAUACAGUAUGAAACUCAUGUCGCAACGAGAUCAAAUGCUUUGUAGGCUUGAUCAAGUAUUCUUCACAGUUGUACAAUACAAUCAAGUGAAUUGUGCAAUAACAAAAACAAAAUCGUUUUAGGCCAAACAUUUGAGAAUGUUACACCGUGUUUCCUUAUACACCGAUGGAGGUGAGACAGUUCAGUUUCCGUUUAUACAUUUCUGACUCGGGUUUUUAAGAAAUUACUGUUUUUGGGUAUUUGCAGUAAAUUGCAUAGUUCACCAAUAACGCUGAACCCAAAAGAGAAAAUGUUUGAAUUGAGAAAUAAGUCCUCCGCAAGUUGUGAACCUAGAAUUUCUUGUUUGUUUGUUAGUUUUUCACACAAAUACUAAUCAUUUUCAAUCCAUCACUUGGGAUAAAAGGGAAAAGGCUUUUAAAAAUUGAGGGGUUUAAAAGCUUGCCCCAGUAAUACCGUGUCCUUCAGUUAACAUUAUUUAUUGUGUUAUCUAAUAAAUCAACUUAGUUACACGCAGCAGGGGUUUUGAAUCAGACCUAAGCCCGUUCCCAACAAAACGACGCGAAUUCAGAGCAACAUAAGAAUGGAGCAGGAAGAGUUCAGCAAGUGGAAGUCAAGGCUUGUCGUUGCAGUGUUUGAACAGGUUGGACGGAGUCCCGUUGAACGAGCUGCAUUUCUCCGCGCAGGUGGCCAGCGCAGUGCUCGAAAACGGAUACACGGCCGCCUGUCCGAAAGGCGCGAGCGCGGUAGGAAUCGGCGAAGUUAUAGUCUGUCCUUGGUUCAGAUAAGCCACCAGCCGGCGCAUUUCCUCCAGCGCCUGCGCCUGCAUUAGGAUGUAGUUUUUUGCAAGAAGCAAAGUUGCGAUUUUAGAGAGUUUUCUCACAGACGGACUGUGCGCGUAGGGGAUCACAGACCUCAGGCCGUCCAGCAGGGUGUCGUUGCUGAUCGAUUUCAGCAAGUUUUCUUCGCCGGCAUUCAUUUUGGAGAAACGAAAUAAAACUAAAACAAAAAAAUGGAGCGGAUGGAAAACUUUGGCGCGCGCUCUUGAAAGCUUCCUCGCGCUGUCUUCUUUCUUUUCUUUCGUUGGCGUUCUCCAAAGGGCUGCUGGAAAUGAAGACACUUUUUGAUAGAGAUCUUUCUUCCCCAAUCACGCUCUUCCGCGCAGACAGCGAUGUUGCGUGCACUUUAGACGCGUCGUCUGAACUCGCGAGCGUUCUUGCAGUGAGUCUUGCCCUCGCCCUGGGCAGAUUGAGACUCGCGCGCAG
ensembl:lncRNA